UAUCAGCCCUGGGGUCAGCUACUAUCAGAAGUUGCAAUUCCAGAAAGCUGCCUGGAUCUGGUUAGUGAAGAUUCCAGGAACGAAGUGGCCAGCAACAGGAGUGGCUCCAGCAACAGCAGCAACAGCAGCAGCAGCAAUUUUUAGCACAGUCACCGGCCAGUAUUCCUGGACUGAUAUGCCACUGACAUUAGCCAGGUUUUUCAUGGUAACUUCAGGAGUUGCUCCCAGGUUCUCUUCAAAUUUCCGAUGCAGAUGCCAUCACUUUCCCUUUUAUUCCAUUUAGAAGUCAACCCACCUAACUGGAUUCCUGCUGCAAGGAAUUUGAGGACACCCUCCUCCUUCAUUUGCAGAACAUCAAGGGCUCCAGGGAGGGUGACGUUUCCCCUUCAACUUACAAUGGGAAUCCAGAACAAUGCCAUAUGGACUCCUUUCUGUUGAACGUUGAGUGAGCUUGGCUUCAAAGCAAGCAUGAUGAACAAGAAACAUGGCUAGUGGACAAGAGGAGGAAACGAGGACCAUAUGAGAGAGAGGAAAGAACAUGAGGGCAAAGUGGCUGUCUGCAAGUCAGGAAGAGACCUCUCAACAGAAACUGACUCUGCCAGAACUUAAUUUGGAACAUCUAUGCUCCAGAACUGUUGAGAAAAUAAAUUCCUGUUGUU